UACGUAGGCAGCGAGCGUUGUUCGGAUUUACUGGGCGUAAAGGGUGUGUAGGCGGUUGUUUAAGUUUGGUGUGAAAUCUCCCGGCUCAACUGGGAGGGUGCGCCGAAUACUGAAUGACUCGGAGUGCGGGAGAGGAAAGUGGAAUUCCUGGUGUAGCGGUGAAAUGCGUAGAUAUCAGGAGGAACACCGGUGGUGUAGACGGCUUUCUGGACCGUAACUGACGCUGAGACACGAAAGCGUGGGUAGCAAACAGG
rnacentral:rRNA from 1 species